rnacentral:rRNA from 1 species
UGGGGAAUUUUGCGCAAUGGACGAAAGUCUGACGCAGCAACGCCGCGUGGGUGAUGAAGGUCUUCGGAUUGUAAAACCCUGUCGUCGGGGACGAAGGUACGGGAUUUAAUAGGUCUUGUGCUUGACGGUACCCGGAGAGGAAGCCCCGGCUAACUCUGUGCCAGCAGCCGCGGUAAUACAGAGGGGGCAAGCGUUAUUCGGAGUUACUGGGCGUAAAGGGCGCGUAGGCGGUUUUAUAAGUGAGAUGUGUAAUCCCCGAGCUCAACUUGGGAACUGCAUCUCAGACUGUAAAGCUAGAGUGCUGGAGAGGGUGGUAGAAUUCCACGUGUAGCGGUGAAAUGCGUAGAGAUGUGGAGGAAUACCAGUGGCGAAGGCGGCCACCUGGACAGUAACUGACGCUGAGGCGCGAAAGCGUGGGUAGCAAACAGG